UUAAGCAACUUGCUUGAUGUGACACGAUCAGGUCUCCUGAACCCAGAGCACUUCCUUGCACUUUGCUGCACUAAGAUUCCUCUCGGAGAAUGCAGUAUCCAGACACAUCCCUUCUUUUGUUCCAGCAUCCAGCCCACCCUGCCUGACUUAGACAAAUCCUGACUCAUUUCUCAUGGUGGCACCAUUUCUCUUGCCAGUGAUUGGUUCACGGGAUCAGCUCCCCAGUAAACAAGCCAG